UUAUUCACUAGUUUGUUCAUUUUAAUUCUUGUGCUUCCUUAGGUUCGUUCGUAUGAAGAGCAAUGGACGGAAGAGGAAUUUGAGAAAAUGUGCCUUGCUGAGUCUCCCCAAUCACCUAGUCUAAAGGAAGAAAUUCAAGAAAAGAAUUCCCCUUCAGCCUCUGGCACUUGUCCUGACCCUGUAGUUGCCAAUAGUGAAAUACAAACCCCAGCACCGUAUCAGCCUCCUCUCCAGCAGCCUGUGCAAGAACUUUCUCAACAGCCUGUGCAAGAACUUCCCCAACAACAUGUUGGACCCAUAGUUCAACAAAGCCCUGUGACUGUGACUCCGUCAUCUAAACGGGGCCGGGGAAGACCAAGGAGGACAGCAAUAGUGACUGAAAUUUCACCGUCCCCUGUCGUUAUUUCAGCAAUUGCAGCUAGUGUAAAGGUGGAUAGCAAUACCAUUGCAGAAAAUACUUCUACUAGUCAGGCAACUUCUGGGCCUGUUUCUGUGUCUUUUCCUUGUGCUUCUUCCGUAGAAAGUACCAGCGCAACCAUCCUACAGAAUGUAACUGGUGUUGCUCCCAGCCAUCAGUCAAGUGUACCUUCUGUUGCUGUUGUUUCUCAGUCUGGUCCUCCUUGCCCUCCUACAAGUGGACAGGGAAGGGGCCGAGGUAGAGGCCGAGGCCGAGGUCGAGGUCGAAAGCCUCAAACUGGAGGAGAAGCUCCAGGGCGUAGAGGAAAACAACAGAAUGUUACAGCAGAGGCUUUCCCCACCCCUCCAACUCAAGCAGUAAGUGAGCCUGUCUCUGCAGUGCAAGGUGUGAAUGAUAUGAGUUCUACUCACCAUAUGCCCCCAACACCUCCUGCAGUGGGUGAGCCUGAUCUGGUGCCACAGGUGGUGGCAGGUUUGGGUUCAAAAAACCUUGGUCAUGCUCCUGUUUCCAUGAGAGAUGCUAGUAAGGAACUGAAUUCGGUUGUGCCUCUUGCAGCAUCUUCCUCUAGCAAAGAAUUAACCCCUGUUUCGACUGUUUCUGUUAUUCCAUCAUCUGCUGCCAGUCAGGACCCUAGUUCAAUUUCACCUCCAGGUGUCCUUCAAUCAUCCUCCAGAAACCAUUCAGACCAUCUUUCCCUCUCUGCUGCCCAGACCGAAGCUACUCUGCAGGUGAAUUCAAUUUCAGUAGUUCCUCAUAGUUCACCUUCAGCUGGCAAGGAAACGAGUUCUGUGUCACCUGUUCCUCUUCAGUCAUUAACUUCAAAGGACUCCAAUUCAGUUGUACCUACUGUUGUUCCUGCAUCAUCGUCUGCUUGCGUGGAACUAAGUUCAGUUUGCCCUCUUCCUGCUGUUGCACCCUCUCCCAGCAUAGGUACAAAUACAUCUGCACUUACUCCUCUUCUUUUAGCAUCUAAUGCAG
rnacentral:lncRNA from 1 species